GACGAACGCUGGCGGCGUGCUUAACACAUGCAAGUCGAACGGAAAGGCCCUGCUUUUGUGGGGUGCUCGAGUGGCGAACGGGUGAGUAACACGUGAGUAACCUGCCCUUGACUUUGGGAUAACUUCAGGAGACUGGGGCUAAUACCGGAUCGGAGAUCUUGCUGCAUGGUGGGGGUUGGAUAGUCUCGGCGGUUGUGGAUGGACUCGCGGCUGAUCAGUUUGUUGGUGGGGUAGUCGCUUACCAAGUCUUUGACGGGUAGCCGGCCUGUGAGGGUGACCGGCCACAUUGGGACUGAGAUACGGCCCAGACUCCUACGGGGGGCAGCGGUGGGGAAUAUUGCACAAUGGGCGGAAGCCGGAUGCAGCAACGCCGCGUGCGGGAUGACGGCCUUCGGGUUGUAAACCGCUUUCGCCUGUGACGAAGCGUGAGUGACGGUAAUGAGUAAAGAAGCACCGGCUAACUACGUG
rnacentral:rRNA from 1 species